ensembl:lncRNA
UAGAAAAAAAAAAGAUAAAAGGAGAAGAAAUGAAGAAAAAAUACAGCAUCUAGAUGAAGUGUUUCAGAGGCUGUGGCGCCAUGGGUUGAAGCUACAGCCGAACAAGUGCAAGUUCCUGCAACAGAAGGUGAAAUUUCUGGGGCAUGUAGUGGAUAAGUGUGGUGUAAGACCAGACCCUGAUAAAAUUUCUGCAGUUAUGGAUUGGCCGGUCCCUGAUACCAUCAGACAAAACACCUGGAGGGGACUGGAUCAGAGCGUGGAGUCACUUCAGCAGCCAUUGAACUGACCUGUGAGGUAGAAAGGAGUGACUGGGCAGAAGCACAAGCUCGUGAUCCGGAUAUUCAAGUGGUAAAACAACUUCUGGAAACCCAGGUCGCGCCCACAAAGUUAGAACGUCAGACAUUGUCACAUGGUGUGCGAUGACUCCUGCAG